rnacentral:rRNA from 1 species
AGUGAACGCUGGCGGUAGGCCUAGCACAUGCAAGUCGAACGGCAGCACAGUAAGAGCUUGCUCUUACGGGUGGCGAGUGGCGGACGGGUGAGGAAUACAUCGGAAUCUACUUUUUCGUGGGGGAUAACGUAGGGAAACUUACGCUAAUACCGCAUACGACCUACGGGUGAAAGCAGGGGAUCUUCGGACCUUGCGCGAUUGAAUGAGCCGAUGUCGGAUUAGCUAGUUGGCGGGGUAAAGGCCCACCAAGGCGACGAUCCGUAGCUGGUCUGAGAGGAUGAUCAGCCACACUGGAACUGAGACACGGUCCAGACUCCUACGGGAGGCAGCAGUGGGGAAUAUUGGACAAUGGGCGCAAGCCUGAUCCAGCCAGACCGCGUGGGUGAAGAAGGCCUUCGGGUUGUAAAGCCCUUUUGUUGGGAAAGAAAAGCAGCAGGUUAAUACCCCGCUGUUCUGACGGUACCCAAAGAAUAAGCACCGGCUAACUUCGUG